AUUGAACGCUGGCGGCAGGCCUAACACAUGCAAGUCGAGCGGAGCGGCGGACGGGCGGGUAAUGCCUAGGAAUCUGCCUGGCAGUGGGGGAUAACGUCCGGAAACGGGCGCUAACACCGCAUACUAGCAGAUGAGACUAGGUCGGAUUAGCUAGUUGGUGGGGUAAAGGCCUGCCAAGGCGACGGUCCGUAACUGGUUUGAGAGGAUGAUCAGUCACACUGGAACGGAGACACGGUCCAGACUCCUACGGGAGGCAGCAGUGGGGAAUAUUGGACAAUGGGCGAAAGCCUGAUGCAGCCAUGCCGCGUGUGUGAAGAAGGUCUUCGGAUUGUAAAGCACUUUAAGUUGGGAGGCGUUACCAACAGAAUAAGCACCGGCUAACUUCGUGCCAGCAGCCGCGGUAAUAC
rnacentral:rRNA from 1 species